AGCAUUACAAGNAUUAGAGGCACUGCCUGCCCAGUGACAUAAGUUAAACGGCCGCGGUAUCCUGACCGUGCAAAGGUAGCAUAAUCAUUUGUUCCUUAAUUAGGGACUAGUAUGAACGGCCACACGAGGGUUUAACUGUCUCUUAUUUCUAAUCAGUGAAAUUGACCUUCCCGUGAAGAGGCGGGAAUAAAAAAAUAAGACGAGAAGACCCUAUGGAGCUUAAAUUAUAUAACUCAAUAAUAAUAACUAAACUCCUACAUAGGAAUUAUAAAAUCAAUUAUCUCAGUUAGAUUUCGGUUGGGGUGACCUCGGAGUACAAAACAACCUCCGAGAGAUUUUAAACCAAGAUUAACAAAUCAAAGUAAUAAAUCAAUUAUUGAUCCAAUCUAAUUGAUCAACGAAACAAGUUACCCUAGGGAUAACAGCGCAAUCCUAUUCAAGAGUCCUUAUCGACAAUAGGGUUUACGACCUCGAUGUUGGAUCAGGACAUCCUAAUGGUGCAGCAGCUAUUAAUGGU
rnacentral:rRNA from 1 species